ensembl:rRNA 5S_rRNA 5S ribosomal RNA
GCUUACGGCCAUACCAGCCUGAAUACGCCCGAUCUCGUCUGAUCUCGGAAGCUAAGCAGGGUAGGGCCUGGUUAGUACUUGGAUGGGAGACCGCCUGGGAAUACCAGGUGCUGUAAGCU